rnacentral:rRNA from 1 species
UACGUAGGUGGCAAGCGUUGUCCGGAAUUAUUGGGCGUAAAGCGCGCGCAGGCGGUCCUUUAAGUCUGAUGUGAAAGCCCACGGCUCAACCGUGGAGGGUCAUUGGAAACUGGGGGACUUGAGUACAGAAGAGAAGAGUGGAAUUCCACGUGUAGCGGUGAAAUGCGUAGAGAUGUGGAGGAACACCAGUGGCGAAGGCGACUCUUUGGUCUGUAACUGACGCUGAGGCGCGAAAAGCGUGGGGGAGCAAACAGG